CGCCGCCGCCCGUGCCGCGCGCGCCUGGGCAGCCGGGUCAGGGUCGCCGUCGGGGAAGCCGAGAGCACAGGCCCCAGAGUCAGCAUGAUGGAGCUGGAGCUGCCUCCGCCGGGACUGCCGUCCCAGCAG
rnacentral:other from 1 species